rnacentral:lncRNA from 1 species
GAACCGGUUGGACUCCAGCUGGUUUCCGGCCCCAAUGCGAGAAAAAGAGCCCCUCAAGAAAAGUUCGAAAACUCACGACACGCGACAGGAAAGUUGCUGAGCUAGGGGGAGGGACUCACUCCCCACCUGCAAGAGAGCAGUGAGAACGAGGGGGUCUCAGGUACAGACACCCGCUCGCCUGUUGCUUCACGGGGUUCUCAGGAGUCUCCUCAGGUGCCUUCUGCUGAAGUCAGGGCCGUUAAAAGAUCAGCUGAGCUCCCAUUCUCGUGUCAACCUCUGUGUGAGCCAGGAGGGAUUCAGAAACAAAAGCGCAUCCCUUGACUAUGGAAGCCUCUGGUUUAGAACCUGUGUCGCUGACAACCCACUGGCCUAGAUUUGGGGUCCCUUUGAAAUGCAGAUGCAGCAGGGCUGCUGAGAGCGCUCCUGGCUCUGUAAAGUGGAUGUCAGGUGGAUCUAUGUUUGUGAAGGAACAAAGACUCAGCGAAGGCACCGCCGAG